CAGCAAUGUGUUUCUCAAACUGAGAAAAUCCUGAAGAGCUUGAUGGACGAUAACCAGCCACUAGUGGGUCUGCAAGAGGGUACUGAACUAAAAUCCUCAGAUUGGAAUUUGCUGUGCUAA
rnacentral:lncRNA from 1 species